CAGUGGGUGUGUCCGUGUGGUCACUGGGUGAGGCCAGGGUGUGUCCGUGGGUGUGUCCGUGUGGUCAGUGGGUGUGGUCAGUGGUCAGCAGGUGUGGUCUGGGUGUGGUCAGUGGGUGUGGUCAGUGGUCAGUGGGUGUGGUCAGUGGUCAGCGGGUGUGGUCAGUGGGUGUGGACAGGGGGUGUGGUCGGUGGGUGUGACCAUUGUCAGUGGGUGUGGUCGGUGGGUGUGUCCGUGUGUCUAUAGGUGUGGUCAGCGGGUGUGGUCUGGUUGUGGUCAGUGGGUGUGGCCAGUUGUCAGUGGGUGUGGUCGGCGGGUGUGGUCAGCAGGUGUGGUCAGCGGGUUUGGUCAGUGGGUGUGGUCAGGGGGUGUAGUCAGUGGGUGUGGCCAGCGGGUGUGGUCAGGGGG
rnacentral:lncRNA from 12 species